UACGGAGGGUGCAAGCGUUGUUCGGAAUCACUGGGCGUAAAGCGCGUGUAGGCGGCCUCCUAAGUCUGGUGUGAAAGCCCGGGGCUUACCCCCGGAAGUGCACUGGAUACUGGGAGACUAGAGUACCGGAGAGGAGGGUGGAAUUCCUGGUGUAGCGGUGAAAUGCGUAGAUAUCAGGAAGAACACCGGUGGCGAAGGCGGCCCUCUGGACGGAUACUGACGCUGAGACGCGAAAGCCAGGGGAGCAAACGGG
rnacentral:rRNA from 1 species